GGCAGCGACUAAGGUUUAGUGAGGCGGCACCGCGCGGCCCGAGGCGGGUCUUGAAGCACUCGUUUUCCCACUCGUUUUCCGGGGUUCCCCCGCGGUGGGACAGUGAGCAGUUCAGGGCGCCGCAGCCGAGGCCUUCCUCCAGGAAACGUUUGCUGGCUCCUGCCUUAGAAGAUGAGAAAGUUUGUGAUGGAUGGAGAAGAGGAUCUUCCAGAAAAUAACCAGGGCUUUCCAGCCACUGGAUCCAAAGAGUGUGCUCUCCCUGAGGGUGGAGACGGAGCCAGGUUUGCCCAUGUGAGCAUCUGCAGGAUCCUGGAGAUGUCUCAAGCCUGGCAGCAGAGAAAGACUGUCCGAGGAGGCAGCAGGAGCCAGGGCCAGUGACACCACAUCUCAAGGAGCCAAAUGAUGAUGCGGAUUUUCAGGCUAAAAGUGUGAGGCCAGAUUUUGCGGGCGGUGAGCUGGAAGGAGCACUGGACUAGGAGUCCUGAGAGGUUAGAGUAUAAGACUCCAUCCACCAGGAGGACAUACUGGCUCACACAUAAAAAGAAGGUUUUGGAACAGAUGAUCCUUCUGCUGUUUACCCCCGACCCCCCCAGGCUAUUUAAGAGUAGAAUCCUUUGCUUGGGUAAUUACGUUGACAUUGACACUAAAAGGAUGCAUAGUUGUCUUGACAGCAAGUCCUUCUUGCUCAACAUCAAGAAACCACAGAGAAGACUGAAGCGGCUGGAACAGUCGGGUCUAUUUCCUCCCUCUUCUGUGUUGAUGAACUUCUGGGAGGAGAACGGGGUUAGAACCGAAGUAUGGCUUGCAGACUCUGUUCAGAGUCUACGCCUCACCAGCAGGCUGGGAGCCACUUAUGCACUGGGCCUUCCCAUCCCUCGGUGCUGGAGCCCACACCUGGCGGCGCGUCAGACUGCGGCGAGCAUCACAGGUCAGUUCCGUGAAACCGACCACGAGGGUCCAGCCGCUCCAACCACACUCGCCCACCUCCCCUGCUCUUGAGGGCUCGGGUACCUUCAUGCCAGGAAAGGCAGCAGCUGGACGGAGUCACCUUUCUGGUUUGGGCAUGUUCUGCAGUCUGCUUUGUCUGCUGAUAUUUGCAUUCUUUCUGUGUCAAUAUCAAACACAAAUAAGCAGAACGCUUUCCAAGGAAAUGUACAUGUGUACCCACAUUUGCCACAAUCUGUCAGGACAGCACACUUCUUGAUGAAAUGGAUCAAAUCAUUCCUUUUAAGGAAAAAAAAAUCCCGAAAUGCCAGCGCCUCCCUCUCCCCCGCCCCCCAACAAAGGCCUGUGGUUCUGGGCUCUUUGCAGGCACAGCCCCUGUGGACAGAUAUCCUCACCUGCCGGUGGGAAGGCAGGGAUCAUGCCCACCUACCCGGCCCCCUUUGUCUCCUAAGAUACUUGUUUCUAUUCCUGGGGGCAAAUUUGCCUGACACUGGCUCCUGGUGGUGAGUUAGAGUAUCGCCGGGCCAUACACUAGCAGCUCGGGCAGCUAUUCCAACCGUCCAGGUGUGCCCUGUGUUGACAUAAUCCGACUUGGAACAUCCACCUUUUCACCCAUUCCACAAAUAUUUACGAGAGCUGGCUCUAUGCCAGGCCUUGUUUAGGUGCUGGGGAUGCAACGGCGAAUAAAAGACAAAAACCCCUGCCCCCUGGAAGCGUCCGUUCUUGUCUGGCAGAGACCCACAAUAAAUAAGUAAAAUGAACUGAA